rnacentral:rRNA from 1 species
GNUUNAUUCGAUGAUACGCGAGGNACCUUACCUGGACUUAAAUGUAGAGUGCAUGACUUGGAAACAGGUCUUUCCUUCGGGACUCUUUACAAGGUGCUGCAUGGUUGUCGUCAGCUCGUGCCGUGAGGUGUCGGGUUAAGUCCCAUAACGAGCGCAACCCCUAUCAUUAGUUGCCAGCGGAUCAUGCCGGGGACUCUAAUGAAACUGCCGGUGUAAACCGAGAGGAAGGUGGGGAUGACGUCAAAUCAGCACGGCCCUUAUGUCCAGGGCUACACACGUGUUACAAUGGCCAGUACAAUGGGCAGCUACCAGGUGACUGGAUGCUAAUCUCCAAAGCUGGUCUCAGUUCGGAUCGGAGUCUGCAACUCGACUCCGUGAAGUUGGAUUCGCUAGUAAUCGUAUAACAGCAAUGAUACGGUGAAUACGUUCCCGGGCCUUGUACACACCGCCCGUCAAACCAUGGAAGCUGGGGGUGCCUGAAGUACGU